UGGGGAAUUUUGGACAAUGGGCGCAAGCCUGAUCCAGCAAUGCCGCGUGCAGGAAGAAGGGCCUUCGGGUUGUAAACUGCUUUUGUCAGGGAAGAAAUCUUCUGGGCUAAUACCCCGGGAGGAUGACGGUACCUGAAGAAUAAGCACCGGCUAACUACGUGCCAGCAGCCGCGGUAAUACGUAGGGUGCGAGCGUUAAUCGGAAUUACUGGGCGUAAAGCGUGCGCAGGCGGCUUUGCAAGACAGAUGUGAAAUCCCCGGGCUCAACCUGGGAACUGCAUUUGUGACUGCAAGGCUAGAGUACGGCAGAGGGGGGAUGGAAUUCCGCGUGUAGCAGUGAAAUGCGUNGAUAUGCGGAGGAACACCAAUGGCGAAGGCAAUCCCCUGGGCCUGUACUGACGCUCAUGCACGAAAGCGUGGGGAGCAAACAGGAUUAGAUACCCUGGUAGUCCUCGCCCUAAACGAUGUCAACUGGUUGUUGGACGGCUUUGCUGUUCAGUAACGAAGCUAACGCGUGAAGUUGACCGCCUGGGGAGUACGGCCGCAAGGUUG
rnacentral:rRNA from 1 species